rnacentral:rRNA from 1 species
AUUGAACGCUGGCGGCAUGCUUUACACAUGCAAGUCGAACGGUAACAGGCCGCAAGGUGCUGACGAGUGGCGAACGGGUGAGUAAUGCAUCGGAACGUGCGCAGUCGUGGGGGAUAACGCAGCGAAAGCUGCGCUAAUACCGCAUACGAACUAUGGAUGAACGCGGGGGACCGUAAGGCUUCGCGCGAUUGGAGCGGCCGACAUGAGAUUAGGUAGUUGGUGGGGUAAAGGCUCACCAAGCCAACGAUCGGUAACUAGUCUGAGAGGACGACCAGCCACACUGGGACUGAGAAGCGGCCCAGACUCCUACGGGAGGCAGCAGUGGGGAAUUUUGGACAAUGGGCGCAAGCCUGAUCCAGCAAUGCCGCGUGCAGGAAGAAGGCCUUCGGGUUGUAAACUGCUUUUGUACGGAACGAAACGGUCCUGGUUAAUACCCGGGGCUAAUGACGGUACCGUAAGAAUAAGCACCGGCUAACUACGUGCCAGCAGCCGCCGUAAUAC